rnacentral:rRNA from 1 species
UAGGGAAUAUUGGACAAUGGGUGAGAGCCUGAUCCAGCCAUGCCGCGUGCAGGAAGAAGGCGUUAUGCGUUGUAAACUGCUUUUUGCCAGGGGAUAAAAAGACCGUGCGCGGUUAAUUGAAGGUACCUGGUGAAUAAGCCACGGCUAACUACGUGCCAGCAGCCGCGGUAAUACGUAGGUGGCAAGCGUUGUCCGGAUUUAUUGGGUUUAAAGGGUGCGUAGGUGGCCCUGUAAGUCAGUGGUGAAAUAUCUCAGCUUAACUGAGAGGGUGCCAUUGAUACUGCAGGGCUUGAGUACAGAUGAGGUAGGCGGAAUUGACGGUGUAGCGGUGAAAUGCAUAGAUAUCGUCAAGAACACCGAUAGCGAAGGCAGCUUACCAAGCUGUAACUGACACUGAGGCACGAAAGUGUGGGGAUCAAACAGGAUUAGAUACCCAGUAGUCCCUGAGCGGGCUGGCAAGGCGCAU